rnacentral:rRNA from 1 species
GAUGAACGCUGGCGGCGUGCCUAAUACAUGCAAGUCGAGCGAACAGACGAGGAGCUUGCUCCUCUGACGUUAGCGGCGGACGGGUGAGUAACACGUGGAUAACCUACCUAUAAGACUGGGAUAACUUCGGGAAACCGGAGCUAAUACCGGAUAAUAUAUUGAACCGCAUGGUUCAAUAGUGAAAGACGGUUUUGCUGUCACUUAUAGAUGGAUCCGCGCCGCAUUAGCUAGUUGGUAAGGUAACGGCUUACCAAGGCAACGAUGCGUAGCCGACCUGAGAGGGUGAUAGGCCACACUGGAACGGAGACACGGUCCAGACUCCUAAGGGAGGCAGCAGUAGGGAAUCUUCCGCAAUGGGCGAAAGCCUGACGGAGCAACGCCGCGUGAGUGAUGAAGGUCUUCGGAUCGUAAAACUCUGUUAUUAGGGAAGAGCAAAUGUGUAAGUAACUAUGCACGUCUUGACGGUACCUAAUCAGAAAGCCACGGCUAACUACGUG